rnacentral:lncRNA from 1 species
GCUGGUUCAACUAGUGCGGCAAUAACUGAGUUGUCUAAGCAAUUAACUAAAUGGGGGACCAACCUAGUGGGUGGUAGUCACCUUCAUAUAAGGUGUAUGGCUCAUAUUAUAAAUCUUAUUGUUCAAGAUGGUACAAAAAAAGUAAAUGUGUGUAUUGAACGAGUUAGGCAAGCAAUGAGAUAUAUCAAGCAAUUUCCUGUUGGGUGGAAAAAGUUUCAAAAAUGUUGUGAAGUUGAAAAUCUUUCUAAAAAAUCUGUAUGCUUGGACGUUUCUACAAGGUGGAACUCCACCUACAUGAUAUUGAGUAAGGUUAUUUAAUAGAAAUGUGCAAUUGUAGAGUACGCCGAUCGUGAUAUUGGCUUGGCACUACAUCUUAUGUUCGUUUAUAUCGUGGAUAAAAAUUCUACAGGUACACUUUUGAGUAGUGAUUGGGAGGGCGUAAAGAGAAUUACAAAAUUUGUUGUAAUAUUUUUUAAUCUUACGUUGGAUAUAUCAGGAUCAUUAUAUGUUACAUCAAGUUUUCAUUUUCUUUAAAUUUGUCAAGUUGGUAUUUACUUAACCAAUUGAUAUCAAGUGAAGAUCAAGUUUUGGCUAAAAUAGCAGAAAAUAUGAAGGAGAAAUUUGAAAAAUAUUGGGGUGAUACUGAAAAAAUGAAUAAGAUGGUUUUCAUACCAUGUGUUUUGGAUCUUUGUCACAAAUUUCGGACUCUUGGGUUUGCACUUAAGAAGAUGUUUGGAGAAAAAAGGGCUGCUUUAGAAAAUGGUGCAUGAACAUACAUUGAAUCUUUGUUUAAUGAAUAUAGAAAGCCUAUUUAAAAUGAUAAAAGUGGUCAAUUUUCUUCAACUAAGGUGGAGAAUUCUGAUUCAAGAUCUGUAGUAGAAUUUGGAAUUUUUUUUAAGGAAUUACAGAAACAUAAAUCUGAAAAGGGAGGAGAAAGUUCAAAGUCAGAAUUAGUUAAAUGUCUUGAUGAAGAAACAGAAAUUGGAAAAUCAGAUUUUGAUGCAUUGCUUUGGUGGAAAGUUAACUCACCUAUAUUUCCAUUUCUUUUUGAGAUGGCUCGAGAUGUGUUGGCUAUUCCCGUUUCAAGUGUGGCAUAUAUGUGUGCUUUUGGUAAUGGAGGGAUCAUACUUGAUUCAUUUUGGAGUUCAUUAACUCCUAAAUUGGUAUAAGCUCUAGUGUUUCUUCAAGAUUGGCUUCGGAGUGAGCCACAAUACAUAAGUAUUGAGGAAGAUUUAGAUUUCCUUGAGCAACUUGAAGAAAGUAAGAAAAGAACCUCAUUGAUGUAAAAUUUUGGAUUGUUUAUUUAAUACCUUUAUUGUUUAAGCCUUGAGUCUUGACUUGUUAUCUUAUUUCUCUUUAGAUUUUUCUAAACAUGGAAAACAACUCUGCAUUGAUGACAUGUAAAAUUAGAUGAAGGAAGGUAUAUACAUGUGUUAUCUUUUUUUUUGUAUUUGAUUAUGAUUGAUCUAAAACUUUCUCUAUUUCUUUGUUAAUUAGAGGCAUGUUAAGUGUUGUUUGGAAAACAAAAACCAGAAUAGUCAACUCUCAAGAAUUGAUACCUAGUUAUUAUUUUGUUUACUUGAACAUGAACUAUUAGACUAUGUUUGGACUCAACUUUCAGAUUGUGUGACUGCUAUUUUGAAUUCGUGUGUGCAUGUGUGGGCUGUGGCAUAUUUUCAUACUGGAAAGUGGACACUGGCAAUUAAGUUCAAUUUUUUACUUCUACAAUGUUGCAACUUGCAUGCUUGGAUCUUGUAGUGCUGCUGUUUUAUUCUAUUAUUUUGUUAUGAUAUUUCAUAUUUGUGUUGAAAAGUUUAUGAAAGUGUUGUUGUGUUUACUUUUAUGUGUAGGCUGUUGACGUAUUGUUAUGGCAGUUGGCGGUUAGCCUAUUAUUGUUGUGACAUUGUGUACUUGUGCUGAGUGUUGUCCUGUUGGAUAUUAACUAUUGAGUGAUUGAAUUAUGAUAUGUUUACGUAAUGAGUUAUUGGCUUGAUGUUGUGCUCUGCUGAGUGUUUGGUGGUUAUUGUCUAUUUAGUGUUCAAUUGUAAGUAUACAACUAUACAAGUAUUGUUGACGACUAGGCCUUACGAGAGUUGUGUUGUGUUGAGAGUUGGGUGACAGUGAGGCCUUACAGGUGUUUCUUGUGCUUGGCUUGUUGUUGUGUUGAAUGAGGAGAAAGAAAAAGGUGAAAGUGACUAUUUUUACUUCCCUUUUUGCAUUUGGUUUUGUUUGAUUUGCGAUAUCUUUUGAUUUUGCUGCCAUAUUUGUUUCUUUUCAUCUUGUUCUUGAAUUAGAAGAUUUUACACAUUUGAAAGCCUCACGUUGUGGAUUCACGAGAAAAGGGAGUUGUUGCAGUUGUACUUUCUCAAUUACAAGUUUAAUAUAACAUAUUCCUUUUUUCUAUGCGUCUUAGUUCUUAGAAUAUGUUUUGUCUCUCGUGUUUUCAGUAAUUUGCCUGCAAAUUGCAAUGUGCAAAUCCACUGUAAAUAAUUACAUUUUAAAUUUUUCAUGUGAUCUUUUACUUUAAAAAAUUGUAUGAUAUGUUAACGGUUAACCCGAUAAUCGAACCAAUAAAUUUCUAUAACCGAUCAACCGAUAACUUAAUGGUUCUUUAACAGUUUAGCUAGUCUACAAACCGAUAACCGAUAAAAUAUUGAUAAUAUUCUAAACCGAACCGAAUUAACCGAUAUGCAACCGUAGUUUGAACAUCGCUUAACCAUUAAAAAACAUCAUCACAACGUUAAUACAAUCGUUUAGACACAAAAAUCAUCCAAAAUGUAGCUGAGCUAAUUUCUAGAGUCAAACAUGAAUAGUGAGACCAACGCUGAAAUUUCUGGAGUUGACUCCGUCAUGAGGUCCUAAACUUUGCCUCAAACUUAUGUUCCAAAGAAGUACACAAUCUGAAUCCAAAAAUAGCCCCAAGAAACACAUGCAAUAAAAACCCAAUUCAAACCUUUUUAAAGAGAGGGCAGUAACUAAAAUAAGAAAUUCACCUAAAAAGGGAUUUGUCAUCAUCUUCUAAUAUAAACCCAAGUAGCCAUACUCUAAAAGAUCACACAAGACUUUUAAUCACUCAAAUCAUAGCUUGGAUCAGGGAGGAAUCACCUUUUGAAAAUAAGAAAUGAGGCUGCAACUUCCCUAUAUAAAUAUCCAAGAUGUAACUCUUAAAAUCCUUACCCUAUUUGCUAAUAGUCUUAUUUCUGGUCGCUAAAACCAUGCACCAAUAUCAACACUUCAGCUAUUUUUCUUAAACUCUUAAUUCUUCAACAGGGUGUCAAGGAUUCAUUUAGAACUCUGUGUAUGAAAAUAAAAUAUGUUACCCCAUCAAAUUCAGUAUUCCAAACACAAUAGAACAAUAAAGACUUCCAUCCAAUGUCGUUUUGAUAAAAUAAAUGGGUCACAUACCCAAUUUCCAUAUUAAGUAAGAAUCCACGAGGGGCGUUGGAAUUAGACCAGAAGCCUUGGGACCUAAAUAAAGAGCAAUAUUUCAGAGCAUAUCGCGCUGAAGAAAUUCUCAUCUCAGCUCGUUUACAAAGAAUGUUGACUAAAGUCAAAGUUUGGCUUCAACUUGAAAGUUUAAAUUCCUAAUCACACAAACUCACAAAAAAAAAUCAGGAGCCGUGAUGAAUAUGGUAGCCUAAAAUAACCUUUGUGGAGCUGAAGAAAUCGACAAAAUUAAAUUGUGAGUCCUAGUUCUUGAAAUUUUGAUAAAACUACCCAUUCAAGGUUCAAAAGCUCCAAAGCAAUAGAAGUCACAUAAAAAAUAAAUAAACAACAAGGUGACUGAAAUGUCAGUACCAGUGAAUCAUAUGACUCAAGGCCUCUCUAUAAAAGAUCUAAAUGAUAAACAUGAGGCAUAAAGACAUAAAUGAACGAAGUUAAUUUCAAGAAAUAGAAAAUAAUUGCGAAAAACAUUCUGGAGCUAACCCCGCUGACAAAAUUCUCAUCUCAGCUCGUUUAUCAAGAAUGUUGACUAAAGUCAAACUUAGUCUUCACCUUGAAAGUUAAAAUGCCUAAUCACAGAAUACAUAUACACUAAUACUUACUUUUGCAUGCCUCAACUACAUAUUUUCAUCCUUCUCAUCGAUCUAUAAGAGAUGAGGACACUUCAUCUUCUUUGCUUCUUCCACUUCACAUGUAACUUCUUCAAUUUGUUGGUUCCUGCAUAAUAAUUUUACAGAAUCUACCUCAUUAUUCCUUAACCUUUUAAUUUGUCGAUCCAAAAUAGCAAUGGGUACUUCUUCAUAAGUGAGAUAUCCCGUAACUUGUAAAUCUUCAUUAUGAGUAAUACAAGAUGGGUCAACUAUACAUUCAAAUCAUUGAUACGUGAAACACCAGAUGUACUGAUGAAAGCUCUUGUGGUAUCUCUAUAAUAUAGGCUACAUGCCCAACUCUUCGAAUUUUCUUAUAUGUCCCUAUAUAGUGGGGACUCAACUUUCCUUUUUUUUUCCAAACCUCAUUGCCCUUUCAUUGGACACACCUUCAAGAACAACCAAUCCCCUAUAGAAAAUCCUAGACCUCUCCUUCUAACAUUCGUAUAUGAUUUAUGCCGACUUUGAGUUGUUUCUAUUCUAUGUUGUAUCACUUUGACUUUUUCCAUAGCUUGAUAUAUAAGAUCUGGCCCAAAUAAGGCAGUGUCAUCUGGUUCGAACCAGCCAAUUGAGGAUCAACACUUUCUCCCAUAUAAAGCUUCAUAAAGUGUCAUUUGAAUAUUAAAAUGAUAGCUAUUGUUAUAAGCUAAUUCAAAGUGGUAGAUGAUAUCCCAGACUUGAAAUCUAAUAUUCAAGUUCGCAGUAUAUCCUGGAGUAUUUGAAUUGUAUGUUCUACCUGACCAUCCAUUUGAGGGUGAAAGGUUGCACUUAAAUUCACUUGUCUGCCCUAACUUUUUUGUAAUGACUUCCAAAAAUUUGCAGCGAAUUGAGCUCAUCUAUCAGAUAUUAUAGAUAUUGUCACUCCAUGUAGUCGAAGUAUCUCUUUAAUAUACAACCUUGCAUACUCUUUGGUUGUAUAAGUAGUUCUUCACCGACAAUAAAUGUUACGCCUUGUAUUUUUAUACGUAGUGCGCGUCAUGAACUAGUAGAUGUAAGUCCAGGGAAUGAGAUAUUUUAUUUCAAGUUCCAUGUGAUUAAAGAAAUAUUAGGCAAGGAUGUUAAUUCCAAAUGUGACAUUAAGUAUGAUUUGGCUAAUGUAAGUGUCAUUAACAUUAAGUGAGGAAUAAAUUAGUGGCUGAUUAGGAUUAAAUUAAUCAAGUGGGCCCCACCACUCAAGGCAAAUUAAAAGAAACCAGAUUGGGAGCUGGACCUUAGUGGGGCACGUGUAGAGGGGGGCUGCCUCCACUUCAUAUUAUGAAUGAGGUGGUGAAAUGCAUUGCAAACAUAUCAUCUUCUUCACCACUUAGCUUAGGCAGCCAUGGAAAUGGAGAAAACCAACCAUGCAACUCUCGGCCAGCAGCUACAAAAGAAUUUGGUUAGUAAUUUCUUUGCUUGGUGUGUUAAUUCCUUAGAAUGUCAUUGUUAAUUAGCCAUUAAUGUUAAUAAGGGGGCGUGACCAGUAGCUUAGGAAAUUUUUUUUAGUUAUUGAAUGUGCUAAGUAUGAACGGGAACCAUAAUCAGAUUAUUAGUGGUGUCGCGUUAGUGUUUGGGCUGGUUUGAUUAAAGCAAAAUGUGGGAAAUUCUAUUUUGGCGUUAUGUAUAUUUUAAUGUGAUUAUGGGUAUAUACUCCAAAGGAUGAAUACGAUAAGGUAGAUGAGUUACGAAUUAUAAAACGAGUUAUCACUUGGUGUGUCGUUGUUUUGUUACUAUGGUUGCCGAGACGGAACUGUUUUACGGGGGGCUGUUUAAUAUGAUUUAUUGGGUUAUAUGUGCUAUUUGUAUUGCUAUGGAUAAUUUGGGUUGUUGUCGCAUUGGGACGAUGUAUGAAAAAUAGGGGAAGUGCUGCCGGAUUUUCGUUAGAUUAUUAGCUAUCUUACAAUAAGCAGUAAAGCGCGACGUCUACCAAAUUGCGGCACGAUUGUUUCUUGUCAUAGAUUAAUGAUUGAGCAGUAAAUAUUGGGUGUGCGGCUCAACUAUACGGUAUGUAAUGCUAUCCUUCUUUCUUUGUUUGGCAUGAUUUUAAAAAUGAGAGAAUGACGGACGGGUUUGAUACUUACUGCUAGAGUGUCUAGGUGACGUAUAUUCUUGCUUCCACAACUAUUCCUCUAUAUAUCGGCUAUGUCUAAGGCUAUGGUGAAUUCUCAUACCUAUGGUAGUGCUUGUUAGAGUCAUUGAGAUUUUACGUUUCCAUAUCGUAUUAAAGUUUCAUAAUCUUGAUAAAACGUUAAUCUUUGGUAAUACUCCUUGCUGGUUCACGUUGAUUGUUCUAUUGAGUUAUAAGAAAUGAUUUUAAUUGCAUAUGGUUGCUCAUAAUAUUCUGCUUGUGCAUAGAGUCAUUUAUCAUUUCACCGAGUCCCGGGCCGGGUAAUGUUCGUGCGGAGUUUCUUGCAUAUGUCACCGAGUCCCUCACUAGAGGGCCGGGUAUGUAUAUUAUAUAUAUGAUUGGAGAUGAGGAUGGUUAUGAUGAUGAUGAUGACGAAGAUGAUGUGAUGACUAUUUUACCGAGUCCCUCACUAGAGGGCCGGGUACGUAUGAUG